CUACAAUACACAUUACACACGCUGUUCCUCCACAAUGAUACCCUCCAGGAUGCCUUUCGCCAACCCUCCCUUCCUUCUGCCGACUACCAAGAAGCCCUCAGAUUAUUCGCCACGGUGCAGGAGAAGGCACACAACUAGGUUGCCCAGUCGGUCGUUCGCCGUCGCUACCGGCGAUUUCUUCAUGGGCCUCGCGUGAUCGUCGGUGAGGCGGAGUCCGCCGUCUUCUGGGAGCAGAGCGAGAAGGACGUCGAAGCGGAGAGGGAGCGGUCGAAGAUUACGAGCCCCGGCUUCAGCUUCUCCGCUGCGGGGCUUUCGGUUCCUUUCCAUCUCGGCGUCGUGCAGUUUCUCCUGGAGAAGGGGUACAUUCGGGUAAUGAAGAGGGAAAGAGUUUAUCGCUCUGUGUUGCUUCUGUCGUGUGCAACUGCAAUUGGCUUAUAUCUGUGAUCUUGAUGCCGUUAUUCCCUGUGUUCUGACUCAUGCUUAGACCCAACCGUGUGCUUUUCUGAUUGCCUAGCAAUUUGAUACUUUGGUGAGAACAUCAAAGUUUUAGCUGUUUUCAAGGAGGAGCACCCAUUGUAAAUGGGAAUUCCGCCUAGUUUUAUCUUCGCAGGUCUGAAUUUCUUUCGAGUCUUCGACAAAUUGAGUGCUGACGGAUUUCUUGGUCGGAUGAUUUGUUGCGAACAAAUUCUGCAUAAGUUCUCGGAAGUGCUUGCUUCGAUUAAAUAAUGAACUUCUUUCUUUCUUUUUUUUCUUCCCCCUCCAUGAUCCGAUCUUGUCUCAACUAGGGUUAUGGCUGCAGGAGAACACUCUGUUAGCUGGUUCAUCUUUCGGGGCUAUAGUGUGUGCAGUUAUUGCAUCCGGAAACACCAUGGAGGACGCUCUGCAAUCCACCUUUGGCACUAAUGCUUUUCAAAGUUGCGAUUGAAAUGCAAAAUUGCAAUAUGGCUUUGCAUAAAGUAUUCCCAAAGCGGGCUUUUAUUGUCCUGAAUUCUGGUAGCAUUUGCAUGAGCUUCUUGGCUGUGACGCGCAGUUACUGUGAGAGUCUCCCAGUCCCUCCUUUGUGCUUCCAUGUUAUGGUGAGAAUGGACCUGAGGCUGUCCUGAGGGAUAUACUUGAAAACUUUUUACGAGAUGAUGUUCAUAAGAAAUCAAAUGUUGUUUUGCUUCAGCAUGAGUACUCUUGUUUUCAUCCCCAAGGAGAAUAGAGAUGAAUGGGACCUGUUAAGUUUAGUACCUAUGGGACUUAUAGGCCAUAUGUAAAGGAAUUGGCCCUCAUAUUGCAGAUAGGCAGUCAGAGCUGCUUCAGAAUUGUGACCUUCCGACUCCACAUCAGAGGAGAAGUCUGAAGAAUUCCAUGGGGUGAGAGAGGAACAAGCCUGCUGAACCAACAAAAUCUUUUUAGUCAGAUAAUGAUUGUUUUCUGUUACAGAGUCAUAAUGUAUACAACAAGGAGGAAAAUUCAGGAAGACAAGGGCGCUGAUCCUUCUAUGUUUGAGGAGAUAGUUGCACGGGUUAAGAAUUUGAGCUGUGUAGCUACUUUAAAGCAUAAGUUGAAGUAUAAUAUUCAUCAACAGUAAACAUUUCUCACCUUGCUGGCUUUUUCUGACCUUGAGAACACCAACCAGGAACUGAAAAAUGAUAUGAAGGAUCGGUUCAUCAACUCAGCUGUGCAUUAAAGCCAAAUUGACAUCUAUGGGAACCCGAAGGCAGUGGUGAUCCAUGUUCCUUCAAAUUGCCGAAGGCUUUUCUAUAAAAUGGAUUACACAAGAGGAAUCAGAUGUACAAGUAUUAUGGACUAUAUUAUGCUUCAAAUGGUUCUAUAUGAUGUCAAUGACAUGAUUUUAUUUUAUU